GGGGUUGGGGCUCAGUGGUAGAGCCCUCGCCUAGCACAUGUGAGGCCCUGGGUUCAAUCCUCAGCACCACA
rnacentral:tRNA from 1 species